rnacentral:rRNA from 1 species
GACGGUAACAGCCCGGUAGUUGAAAUGGCUUUCCCUCCAGAGUGGAUCCUGAGUACGGCGGAACACGUGAAAUUCCGUCGGAAUCCGGGAGGACCAUCUCCCAAGGCUAAAUACUCCCUAGUGACCGAUAGUGAACCAGUACCGUGAGGGAAAGGUGAAAAGCACCCCGGAAGGGGAGUGAAACAGUUCCUGAAACCGUGUGCCUACAAGUAGUUAGAGCCCGUUAAUGGGUGAUAGCGUGCCUUUUGUAGAAUGAACCGGCGAGUUACGAUUUGUUGCAAGGUUAAGCGGAAAAAGCGGAGCCGUAGCGAAAGCGAGUCUGAAUAGGGCGCAUAAGUAACAGGUCGUAGACCCGAAACCAGGUGAUCUACCCAUGUCCAGGAUGAAGGUAAGGUAAUACUUACUGGAGGUCCGAACCCACGCACGUUGAAAAGUGCGGGGAUGAGGUGUGGGUAGCGGAGAAAUUCCAAUCGAACUUGGAGAUAGCUGGUUCUCUCCGAAAUAGCUUUAGGGCUAGCCUCG